AAGGAAGGAAGGAAGGAAGGAAGGAAGGAAGGAAGGAAGGAAGGAAGGAAAGAAGGAAGGAAGGAAGGAAGCUUUGACAUAACUCUUUCUGAGAGGAAUGUCUUGCCUUUCUCUGGGCCCUAGGAUACAAAGUUCCCAUCCUACAUUUUCCAUCUUUAAGCCUGCCAAAAUUAAAUUGUUUAAGAAUACCAUACAGAUUUAAGGAAAAACUACAUCCCCAAAUUUUCAAGGAAUCCAAAGACCUAUUCAUCUCCAAUCAACAUUUCUUAGGAUCAUCAAAGUACACCAUUUCGUUUUUCAUUUUCCAGAUUAUUUUCUGUGAACCAUCUCAUUUUAUCUUCUCAUUAUUCCUUUGAGGGAUGUAAUACUUGACACAUAUAUAGGACUUUCUAAAUCACAAAGUAUUUCAUAUACAAUAUCUUCUUUAGAUCUUGAAAAUCACUUUUUAAGAUACUUUGGGAAGUUAUUGGCAUCCCCAUUUUACUGAAGAGGAAGCUGAAAUACACAGAGUUUGUCUCUUGCCCAAGAUUCUGCCCAUGUUUUCAGGAGGCAAAAGAACCAGGAUUAAGAAAAUGGCUCUGCUAGUAGACAUCCAGGUGAGAAUCCUAGCUCUGCCACUGAUUAGCUCUGUGUCUGUAGGUAAAUUAUUUAAAAUCUUCAUGCCUCAGUUUCCUCAUCUAUUAAAUUGGAAUAAUAAUGGUACUUUCAUCACAGAAACUGGAUGGGGGAAGGGACUAAAUGAGUUAAUGCAUUUAGAUGCUUAGAAGAACUUCUAGCACACAAAGCAUCUUAAUUGUUUGUCAUCAUUGGCAAAACCAAGACUAGAACUUGGGUCUUCCAACUUUUAGCUCAGUGAUGUUUCUGCUGCCCUACACCAAUAUUAUCCUUAUUAUACAGAAGAAAACCUAAAGCUGACAACGUUUAAGUGCAAAUCUCAUCCAGAGCCUCUCUUAAACAGAGAGGUCUAGAACUAAUGUCUCCUGGACUCUGUUUAGUCCUUCCACCAUUAAACCACGCUGCCCUCCACUGCUCUUAAGUUUUUAAAAGUUAUAAACCAACCACUCUCAUGCAAUACUACUGACAGCCUGAAGGCAGACUCUCCCACUCCUCUGGGGAAAGGAUCUUCUACCUUCAGUCUUAAGAGAUCAAAGGGUUUCGGAAUGCUCACUACAAUGGGAGCAUGCUCACUACUACCUCUAGGCCUUUUCUGGGAUAGUCUCUCUUCUUUCCCUUCCAACUGUAGUUAUCCUCAGCACCAGAUGAUUCAAUAUUUGACCAUUUUUGGCUUUCUGAGAACAAGUGUUGUUUUUUCAUAUUUUCAUUAUAUACUCCUUGAGAGUGCAGACUAUGUUGCAUGCAGGCUUGUAUUCUCUGUUGCACAUGGCAAAAUGCUCAGUCAAUAGCAGGUACAUAAACAGAUCUUGAUUCGUGAAUUGAUUGUUUGAUGGACUGAUAGUGUACCCUUCCAGUGGUUGGCAAUUGUCCUAACCUCUUUGUUGCAAAUUGAGGAUGAUCAGAGAAUUGCCUGGAUGGCGUUUAAUACCACAGUGACUGAGCAAGGGUUUUCUGUGGAGGGAGGAGCAGGGGCUGGGGAGGGGAGAGAGUUCCCCUUUGCUCUCACCUGGGCUGGCUUCCACAAAGCCUCAGAACCAGGCCCAUGCCACUGUCUGACUGCACAUUUUGUAUAUGGAAGACACAGACCUGAACCAGGGCUUGCCCUCUUGUCCACAGUCUGGACCCCUCAUAGCACACCCAGACCAGACGUGACCUUGCUCUACGGCUAAAAACAAGUGAAAGUCAUCUGCCAGGGUCACUUGGCACCAAAGUCCUGUGACAGAAGGGGCUCCACUUAAAGGGCAGUACAAAUCCAGGGCAUUAAAAUAACCUGAAUGGUGUCAUUUUCUGAUCAAAUGCCUUUCCCUGUCGGGUUUGUGAUUUUUGAGCCUGAGAAUGUCCCCUCAAGGCUCAGGUUUCUCUGCUGUCACACUGGUCUCAGGCCUGGAAUGUGAGUACUGGCCGUGGAGGUCUGAUGUAGCUAUGUCACAAUCCCAAAAUGGAGAGACAUUAUCUCAUAGACAGUGGCAGCAAGCAGGCACCAGUUUGCUGCUGGCAGGCAUGGUCAGAAUCUGGCCCCGUGAGUAUUUCUCACCCACGGUUCUCAGUGGACACACAAUUUGAGGUCCAAGAUGCCAAUCUAUGCACUAGUAAAUUAGGGUCUUGCAAAGCUUCUCAUCCAGGAGUAAACCCAGGAAAACAUAAGCUGAGGUACAGAGAGGCUCAUUUUUGUUAUAAGUCCUGUUGGUUUGUAGGAGGGUGAUCCCUGGUGGAGAGGCCCUGGAGUACCUGAAAGGCUUGGUCAGAAUGCAGAGAGCAGCAAUUCGCUAGGUGAAAGGGUACUCAAGGCAGGGCUAAGCUGCCAUCCUUACUUUCCUGGGCCUGCGAGGGCAGGAUUGCUGACCACAGGGCAGGUGGGGCCUGGUGGCCUAUGAGGUAACCAUCCCUUUCAGCACUUGGAGAGGAUGAGGCCCCAAGGGGAAACCAUUUCCCCUCUCAUAGAGUAAUAAAGGCCAUCAGAGUCAUAACUACUUUGAUAGUGAACUAGCUUUAGGGAUGAAGAGAAACACCUUCCUACCCAGCCUUAGAAAGGGGGGGUCCUUUUCCCAUUGGUAGCCUGUUCACCCACUUACUUCCUAUGGCUCUGCGCUGCGACUUUUGUUACAACCAAGCCAUUUUCCAAACAAGCCCUGCAUGCUCCUGCCUCCUCCUGUCGCUCAUUCCUUCCUGCACUAAAGAGUCUUCCUCUUCUUAGUCCACCUUUUCUUCCAGGUGCACACUUGAUUGAUUCCUCCUGCUUAGUGAGGCGUAUGAGUGCUGCAGCCUCCAGUCUCUGGGGCUCCUUCAGAACCAGUGUCUAUUCCUUUCACGUGACCCUUGGCACACACCAGCUUCCCAGUCCCUUACCAUCAUGCAUGAGGGUUAGAGCAUGUUUGUUGGAAGGCCCUUCAGCACAGAGGCUGUGUUUUAUCUCUCAGAAUUUCCCAUGCCUAGCAGAGGGCUCACAGCAUUGACUCUGAAGAAUGUAUGACCUCUCCAAUGGCUUCCCAUCACACUUAGCAACAAAACCUAAGAUAGAAGCCAGCAAUAUAGCCUCAUGUCCUAAUUUCCCCAUUUCUUUACCUUCCUCCAACACACUGGGCAUGCUAGCAUCAGGCCUUUGCACUUGCUCUCCCUUCUGCCUGGCAUACUUUCCCUGGACCUCCAGGUGGCCACCUCUCUCACUCCAUUGUCUCUGUCCAAAGGCCACUUUCUCAGAGAGGACUUUCCUGGCCACCAUGUCUAAAAGAUAGCACUCCUCAUCCCAUAUGCCUUGUCUGGCCUUAUUCUUCAUCACAGCACCUAAUUACUGACUGACAUAAUAUUAGUAUAGUAUAGUAUAGAAUAGUACAUUACACUAUGUAUUUUUUUUUUAUUGUAUGGUCCCCAUAAGAAUGCAAGUUCCAUGAGGGCCAAGACCUGACUUUAUUCACAGCUUGUUCUCAGUACCUACGGUGGUAUCAGGAAUAUUGUAGGUAUUCAAUACUUGUUGACCAAAUGGAUGGGAAAAUGAAUGAGCAAACAUUUCCCUGAGAAGUGGGGACCAUUCUGGACAAUGAUGUGACAUGCGGUCUGUUGUGGGAUAACAUAAGGCUUCCUUUCAAAGAACCAAAAAGCAUCAGAACUAUAAAGGUACUUCAAAGGAGGUCAACUCUCAACUGUACAGAGUAAGAAACUGAGUCCCAGGGAGGGAAACAUAAAUGGCAUAAGCACUGGAAAAGUUAAAAUCUUUGACUUCUAAUUGUUAACUCUUCCUAGAAUGUGGCCUGAUGUGACAACUCUUCUGAACGAAUUCUGAGUUACCAAUUUUCUACUGGUUUUGCACUUGAAUAAUUUUUAUAGAAUCAAAACAGUCAAGAGAAUAAGACCAGUCGCAUAAAAGUUUACCUCUUCAUGCUUCUGAGUGUUUUUAGAGGCAUUACUGCAAAGGAAGCAUCAACACUGAUUUUGUCCAGUGUCCCUUCUGCAGUAGCCCAGUAGCCCAGUAGCCCAGAUCUGGACAAAUAUUGAAUGCUGUACAUUGUUGCUUUAUUCUUCCCAACCUUUGUGUGUUAGGCAGGACACUGCAGGACAUCUUCUUUUGGAAUAAAGAAGAAAUCUAAGCAUUUGCCCAAAGCUAAGCUGCAGCUGAGUUCCAGGUCUUCAUCUGGCCUUCUCCUUCAGGCACCUGAGUAAUGCUGGUUGGUUCUAGGUCAUUGAAAAUGGACUGGAACUACUCAUUGCCACUGGUGGGUGGUUCAGCUGACCAUGAGUGUCAGUAUUCAUCAGACCACAGCCAUUCUAGGUUUUCCUUUUCCUUUUUCUUUUCCAAUUCCCCGGAGGGUUCUAAGAAAAUCCCAUCCAGAUCUCCUCUCCCAGGUGGCCCUCAGGGGUGGCUGCCACCUUGCUCUUCUUGUAAGAUUAUGUUUGACAGCAAUGAAAACCAACAGUUCAACAGCAAUAAUCUCUUGGCAGGACAGAUUGGCAUGAGACUUAUCCCAAAACAAAAUAAGCCUUUCAAGGAAGUGUAUUUCAAGUUGGGCUCAUGUUCCCAAGACACUGAGAUUCUUACAUGGCUGACACAGGAGCUGAAGCUGAGCCCCAGCCAGGGCCGUCAAUGAUUGUCAAUAACACGACAGAACAGAGAGAAGACUCAGGGGCUGAGUAUGUUCCUGAACAGUUCAAACAGGGGUAACUGGAAAUGCUGCGGAACUCGUUCUCAGAAAAAGCUUUUUGCACUCUGGCCAGAUUUUCUUAAAUGGCCUUGUUAGUGAUUUCAGUCUUGGAGGAGGGUGUGUGGGUCAGAGUAGCAUCCACUUGCCUUCCUUCCACUUCUUUUCACUACCCAUUCCUUCCCAUCAUUCUCCACAAUUCUUUCCAUGCCACCUACCACCAUUUUCACUGCUGUAUGUGCCACUUAGAGGAGCUCUCUAGACAUUGUGCCACUUAGAGGAGCUCUCUAGACAUUAUGCCACAAGGGAGCCUGUCAUGUCACCUAUGAAUGGCAACUUAUAUGCCUCUGGUUGUCUGCAUCCUAAGUUGUUAUAAGCCUUCCUCUCUAGGCUUGGUUACAAUGCACAAGCUCACAGAAUAAUUCAAACAUCAAAGGUGGAAGUAACCUGGGGAUAACCAGCGUGACCUGGGGAUAACCAAGUUGCUUUUGCGCUGCAUCCUCUCAAAGCCCACAAGAGGACGCCCAAGACCUCUCAAGUCCAGUUACAAGUGGCAGUGAGGCCAGGAGGUGGCGCUGUUGCCUUAACCAUCAAGAAGGAAGCGGUUCCGGUUUAGUCGGGGCUGUGAAUGUACUGGUUGGGGGACACAUAGCACCCCUGCCGACUGCGAGUAAUCCCUACGUGGGAUGCUUAGGCUGUCCCAGCCAAACAUUGCUACCCGACCCUGAGAGGUAAGGCCAAGCUCUAGCCAGCCUGAUUCAAUGGAAAAACUAGGUGAGAAACCAGAAUUCAUGGGUUCUAGUUCCAGCUGCCAUGCUAUUUUGCUGGGAGGGCUUGAAGGAAAUCACUUACUCUUUUUGCCCCAAAGGCUUCCUCGACGUUCCAUGUGUUCUAACAACAUAACUUAAGAUUCAGGAGUGCCAAGUGGGCAUAGAAUUCAGGAAUAAGAAAGACAAAGCUCAUGUCCUGAACAAAUUCAUUGUCCGCGGGUUGGGGAAGGGUAUAGGGAAGGACACAUAAUCAGAAAGUCACAGGUUGAGGAGGGAAGUGGAGGUCUGGAGGUGCACACAGAUGCAUAUGCGGGGAGGACAUGGAUCGGUGAAGGAUUCCUGGUGAUUCUAGACAGUAUCAGAGCUGAAUAGGAGUCAUGUUGGUAAAGAUUUGGACGGGCAGAGGGGCAGCCAGGGCAAAGGCAGUGAGGCAGAAAAUAGCCUAGUGGGUGAGUGGGGCUCUUGUGUAAGUGAGUAGUGUUAGGAAGUGGAGCUGGAUGAAGACUCAGACACCAGGCAGGUGGGGCUUGCAGAUCCUGUCCAAAUGUCCCUUUAUAGGCUUUGUGGUCAAAAUGCUCUGAAAAGGGAGCAUUGCAAAGACCAAUGGUGUCACUAAUACAUGUAUUUAUUACAGGUGCAUAAAUCUGUGCUCAUUUGGAGAUAAAGAAGAUAAAGAACUACCAAGGGGGAAGGAGGGCUAGGGGAGACACAGGACCAAUAUCCACCUUCUGCUGUGUUUUAGCUUGACCUGAAGUCACCACUAGCCACCAUUGUUCUCUCUCUUUCCUCCCUGACCAAGAAGUAAAACAAACUCCUUAGGACAUGGACUUGUUAAGAUCUAAAAUUGAAGAACAGCCAUAUAUUUAUUUAACAAAACAAAUAUAUACAUUAUUUAUGCAAGAUAAUAAGUCACCAAAGUAUAAAAGCUCAUAUUUUCAUUUAUUUAUCAAAACAAAGGUAUGCGUUCAUGUUUUACAGAUGAGAAAUAGGAGACCCAGGCCACAAGACCCAAAAAUGGUGGUGCUGGCACUCUAUCUGGGCUUUCUGAUCGCACUACAUGCUCUCCACUUUUCACCAGCAUGAUUUACUCUGAGCGCUUUGAGGAUUGACCUCCUGGCUGGGGAAGGCAAGCCCAGCAUCACUGGUACCCAGUUCAUGCAUUCACUCUGUGAUCCGGAGGGCCUAUAAAACAGGGGUUCUCACACAGGCUGCUGCAUUUACAGAAAGAGAUGUUGGAUCUCCGGUUUUAGUAUUUACUCUAAAACCCCCUGUUCUUCUCAAAUGAGCACUAAUUGGUCACCAGCACUGAAGAGGCAUGCAGUGCGCCAUGAGUUCUAGACAAUAAGAGAGACUUUCAAAUGCACUGCUGUACAGGCAUUAUGGCUGGGUACAGGCAGUUAGGCUGGCUGUGCAGUGCUUUGUUGGUAUCUGGGACGAUGUUGCAGGGAGGGCCAUCCAUGAGUGUCUGUGACUUGAUGUACCCUUAUUUAAAAUGGCAUUUUUCCCAGAUGCUUAGUCUCCAAACAGAAAACAGCCUGAAAUCUCAUUUUUUCAGUUUCUGCUACAAAAAUUGUUGCCAGUAUAUUUGAAAUUUAUGGAAAGAAUGUUUUUAAUCAACUAAGUGUACUGAAGUAUGUAAAGUUCCGGGAAGGAAUACAGCCCACCAGUGAGGCAGAGAGAAGUGGAAGUCUAGCAACAACAAAUGAAGGACCCCCAGGCUCAGCAACACUGGAAAGAAGUUACAUCCAGUAAGAGGACUGUGAUGGGGGCAGGACUGUAAAAAACAAAACAAAACUAAACUAAACUAAACUAAACUAAACAGCAAGCAAUCUGUGAGAAUGGAACAAAUGACAUGCAAAAUAGUCCAAAGAAUAACAUGUAAAUUAGCAUCAGAUUUCCAAAGAAUCUUAGAGUUGAGAGCCUAGAGAGACCAUCUCUCCAGAUAAUGCUACUGAACCCCCACGGAAGGGAAGCAACUUGCCCUAAUAGAAACAGCUAACUUCAAAGAGGGCUCACAGGGAGUGAGGCCCUGAUUUCAAUGCUCCAUGUGAAUUAACCCAUUUAAUUGUCCCAGAAAGGGCAUGAAGCGUGAGGCUUCCCCCAUAUUGGCAGAUGGGGCAACGGAUGCUUAGGGAGGUUAAGGUACUUGCCCAGCUCAUCUCAUUAGUAAGAGGCAAAGCGGGGACCAAACCGGGGCAGUCUAGCUCCCAGCCCAUCUUCACAAGCAUAUUGCUCCUGGAACCAUUGCAAACCAGCAGCAGAGCCAAGACUAAAGCCCUGGUGCCCCAGUUUCCUAUUCCUGUUCUUUCCACCAUUCUGCUCUCUCCUUGGGCCCAGAAGGUUCUCCUCUCAGAGCUAUGGCGCUUGCUGGUCCCAGCAUCCUUGUCUGGAAUGCUCUUCUCCUACAUCUCCACAGAGUCUGCUCCCUGGAUUCCUUUUCUGUCCACCCCAAAUAAAAUGGCAACACCUCCACUGUCCAUAGCACUGGAACGUCAGAUACCCCUUACUUCAUUCAUAGAUGAAACACCUCACCAUCUACUUGCUGUAUAUUUACUCAUUUUUAUUGUUGUAGCUCAGUGUUUCCUACCAAAUGCAAGCUCGUGAAGGUAGCAUCCAUGCUUUCUUCAAUAACACGUCCCUGGUGCCUGGCGCCUCGAAGCAGGCAAAAAACGUUUGAUGAAAAAGUAAAUGAAUAAAAUGAACAAAUGAACAAAUGGUAAGUAAUUCCCAGACCUGAAGCAAAGAACUCAGGUGCCCUGUGCCACAUGGCAAAUGUCACCCCUGGCUGCUUUACUCGCAUGCUACCCAGGAAACCUGACUCCUUCUACCGUGAGUUCCUGGUAAGAUUCAUUUCUUGAAUUGUAAUAUCAUGUCUCUAAGAGUCUUCUAUUAAACUGUAAGUACUUCUGGGGCACCUGAGUGGCUUAGGCAGUUAAGCAUCUGACUUCAGCUCAGGCCAUGAUCUCACAGUUCGUGAGUUCAAGUCCUGUGUCGGGCUCUGUGCUGACAGCUCAGAGCCUGGAGCCUGCUUUGGAUUCUGUGUCUCCCUCUCUCUCUGCCCCUCCCCUGCUCACUUCUGUCUGUGUCUCAAAAAUAUAUAAACAUUAAAAAACAUUUUUUUAAACUGUAGGUACUUCUGAAAGGGAGAACAUCACACAUGAAUUAAUUACUAGCCUUUAACAAUUUGGGAUAUACUAAAGUGAUACAUAAACAUCAUUUUAUAUAUAACAGAUCCAAACUAAAAUACAGCUCGCAUGGUUGGAGCAUUCGGAACAUGCCGGUCAUAGUGCAAGGUACUUUACACAUGGUACUAAUUGCCAAAUAUUUCCGGCUCUCUGCCUUCCUGGCACUCAUGGGAAUAGCACUUCCCAGGUCUUUAGUGGUGGGUAGCACCAUGUGACUGGUUCCAAACAGACAUAAAUGGGCCUGUUACCCAUUUACAGGGCUAAUGAGAGACCCCUCAGAACUCUCUUUUCCUUUUGGCUCAGCUGCCUUCAAUAUGGGACCUGCCUUAGCCUGAAUCCCUGAGUGAUGUGAUGAACACAGGACCUGCCCACCCCCACCCCCAUCCCCAGUGUCUGUACAGCGAUCUUCUGGGGUAAUCUGUGCUAUCAUUUCUUUACAGGUAAAGAAGGGGCUGUGUGUUAUUAAAGGAUUUUCACAAGAUUUCAUGGCUGGCAAGUGAUGGAGCCACGAAGGGAACCAGAUUCAUUGGUGAGGAAGCCAGCACACGUACAGAGAUGUCUCACAGUGCCCCGGCCCUGUGCUGAGGGCACCCUGAUGACUCCAACACUCAAGACCCUGUUUUCAAGAAUCUGCCAAUGCCCAGUCAAUCCCCCUCCCCUUCCAUUGUUCCUACAGGGAAUGGUCACUACUGCUGAAGAUAAUUGCUCAACUGUUUGCGCUGGGAGUUAGGGAGGGUCAAAUCUCCACUGCUCCAUGUACUCUUUGUAUUCUUUAUACAAACUACAUGGAAGUGAUAGAAAAUUCUGAAGGUCUGGAUCACCUAAGAACAAAACUGGAAUGCUUGGGAGGCAGGAGCCUCCUGUACAAAGUUUUUCACCCACUGCUAGCGUGGUACCUAAAUUUUCUACCAUUAGAAAUUUAUUCCUUUGGGUUUAAAGCAGAUUUCUCCUCUUGUCUAGAACUUGCCCAGACUAUUGUAUAAAAUCUUCUUUUGUCAUACAUCCAAAUGACUACCCUAACAACUUCUAACAGCUAUCUCAACAUUGAGAUCUUGUAGAAAUAGCCCAAGGAAGCCGGCAACAUAAGGAAUGGCUGUACUUCCAGUGCUAAAUACUUCAAUUUUGAGGGUGAAAAUGUUCCUUAAGGCCUUCUCCUUUUAAUUUUCUUUUUCCCAAAAGAACUCAAGUAGAGGGUUUGUUGGUAUUGUUUGUUUGCCACUGGUGUUGACGAGGGGCAGAAUGCCAUCUUCUUAUGAGGACUAAAUUGAUGAGAAUUCUCAUUGUGCUGUACAGAACCCAAAUUACCCACACCACUAUCCAUCACAAACUCUGUGGAUUCCCGAAGUUUGGACUGAAAUUGUGCUCUGAGAAGUGUCUUUCUUUCUGGGAGUCAGGGGAUGGUGGAGGGAUGGGGACACCUUUACGGAGAGGGACAGCCAUGGACUAACGGAAAUGAGAAGAUGUGGAAAAUGUUGUAGCCUGGGAAGAGAGGAUUCUAGGAGGGUCAGGGGAAAUACGGCAUCAAAACUCAAAGGCACAGGUCUUAGGGAUAAAUAUCCAGAAACUCACUUAAAAAAACAAGGAGGUAUUAUGAUGACCCCAAGCAGAAAGGAAAGGCAACACAAGAAUGUAUUUGUAGACUUAACCAUGACAUAAAAUUAUAUGAUUUGAGGCCCAAUUUGUUUAGAAUGUCCCUGCUUUUCUUGAUCUCUUUAGUUUAUUAUCCAAGACCACCUCGUGAAAUACUUUGAACCCAGAUUCAAGUUGAACAUAAAACACAACUGAGUGUGGAAAAGAAUAACUGAACAAAUGUCUAACCAGAGUGAUAUGUGAAGGUUCAGCUCACCUGGAAGCCUGCAGGACUUGGGGCGGCUGCAGGACCUGGGGGUCUGGGGCCGGAGAUGAAAGAGAACUGGCCCUGAGUGGCCUGUGUGUGCCCAGCACUCUGCAGGGGAGCAGUUGUGUCCCAGAGGAAUAGCAGCUUCCUGCUCUGUGUGUGUUUAUCAUGUGACACCAAAAAUAGCAGAGGUUUGUUUUCUGUAGGUUUGCCAGAGACCCAAAGCUGAUAGGGACUGAUGGUUCACCAGAUUGCAUGUGACGUUUUACCAUAAAGAGAGGAAGAACGGGGGUCACACAGACCCGGGCUUUGCCAUUUAUUUACUCCUCCAUGACUGGAGGCCAGCCACCAAGGUUGACAGAACCUCAGUUACCUACAAAUAAGAUGAGUACAGUUAGACCGCUCACACACACUUUCUAUAGGCACAUAAAUGAAUGAUAUGAAUGAAGUGUCCAGCUCACAGUGGACACUCACAAAAUCCCUUUCCUUUCCUGGAGGGAGAACUGAAAUUCACAAAGACACUGAAUCAUAUGCUGAUUACUGCACCCACUCAGACUACUGUCCCCUUACUAGCUAAUCUCCUUCUGGUCUCUCUGACUCUGGUCUUGGGUCAAUCAGUCACUCAGAGCCAGAGUGCUUUUACUAAAUCUUAAAUCUCAUUUCAAAACCCUUUUGAAACCCUUCAAUGGCUUCCUGUUCCCAUAUCCUCACAGGGCUUUUGGAGGCUUCUCGUGAAUUUGUCCUACUUACUCUCCACCCUCACUGUUCACUGCCGUGAACCCCCUCACUCAGCCUCCCCCAGGCCAUGAGCACUCCAGCCCUUCUUUCCCUGCAGUGCAUACAGGACCUGCAUUUCUCCAAAAGCUCAGCUUUUGCACAGUUUAUCCCCUCUGCUAGAUGAUUCCCCACAUCUAUCUCCUUACAGGCCCUUUUUUUAUUUGGAUAACUUCUACCCACCUGUCGGGGCUCAGCUUAGAUGUUACUUUCGGCUUUCUCCAUUCCUCUUAUGCUCUCUUCAUUGCACUGUGUGCAUACAUCCAGGAUGCUUAUGCCAGGUCACAUCUGCACCCAUCAAGUAAGGAGGCCUCUUCUCCCUACCACCUUUCUCCCUGAAGGAGCCAGGAAGAGCAGGAAGGGUGAGUAGGCUGCGGUGGGGGGGCAGGGGGCAAGACAAAGAGGAGAAGCAGAUCUCUGUAGGCUUCACAGCCCCAAGCAGGCCUUGACAUGGUAAGGGAGAGUUUGGUAAAAGAUUACACUGGACUUUUUAACAUCAGAAAAUGACCAGAACAUUCUAUGGGAUCUUCAGAAAUGAAGAAGGAAUCAAACAAUUUAACACAUGGGGCACCUGGGUGGCUCAGUCGGUUAAGUGUCUGACAUGUCUGACUCCUGGUUUCGGCUCAGGUCGUGAUCUCACGGUUUCGUGGGUUUGAGCCCCAUGUCGGGCUCUGUGCUGAUUGUGUAGACCAUACUUGGGAUUCUCUGUCUCCCUCUCUCUCUGCCCCUUCCCCAACUUGUGCUGUCUCUGUCUCUCCCAAAAUAAAUAAAUAAACAUUUUAAAAAAAGAAUUUAACACACAGUGGAGGAAAAAUGAAGUUCUUUCUUGUUUGUAUCCUACCAAGUGCAGCCCUUCAGAAAUACUUCUGUAAAGUGUGGUUACCUGAGCAGCUACAGAGGUCUGCACCUAGAAGGGCCUGGGCUUGCCUUAAUGCUCUGCUGCUACCAUCUUGAAAUUCUUAAUAAUUGGUAAAAAGGGGCCCCAUGUUUUCAUCUGGCACAGGCCCCACCAAUCAUGCACCUAGGCCUGGUUACUACAUAGCAAGGAUUUAGCCAUAUUCUAUGCUACCCCAAGGGGCACAAUGGGACCAAUCAGUGAGAGGUGGAGAGAUACAGAUUUAACUCAAUAUUGGGAAGAGUUUUGUUUGAACUCAUGGCUGCCCAAACUGGAAUAGGCGGUGCAUUGGUAGAGCAUCCGGUCACCAGAAUCCUUACAACGGAAGGUCAGCUACUUGGCAGGAACAUUGGAGACACAGUGCAAGCUCUGGACUCUGUGGCCUACACAAUCCCUGCCAACACUGGGAUUAUGUAAUUCUUUGAUAAAUAUCCUUCAAGAUGUCUGCUUUACCAGCUUCACUGAGAAAUGAAUUUACCAGUGCUGAGACCAGGUAAGUGAAUCUUCAAGUCCAGCCUCUAACCCCUACAUAGUUGGGAGUUUCACUGACUCCCCAGGUUUCUGUCCAAAUUGUGAGUUGUUGUUUUCCUUUAUGAGGACAUUAUUGCCAUUACUCACUGUAUUUCUGAUCAUUGUAAGUUGGAUCUUACUAUGGCUGGCACACUAUGACUUCUUAUUUCUAAGAAAAAGGCCUAAAAAGCCUCAGAAAGUGUUUUAGGCUUAAAGCCACUUUCAUUAAUCAUCAUUUUGACAAUGAAGCAUAAACAGACAUGACAAAUAUUGAUUAAGUUUAACAUUAAAAAUCUACAGGCAUGUUUUGGUUAUUGUUGUCAUCGUCAUUAUUAUUUAUUCACUCCUUCAUCGUUCACUCCUAAUUUGUUUCAGAAGAAGAAAAUGAAGUCCAUUUCUUCCUGAGACCUCCCAAUUAUAACUUCUCAAGCUAGAAAGUGCAUCUUCUCUGCUCCACCUUUAUAGAGCUAGUCUCGGAAGACACAACUUAAGGGUCGAAGCUCCACUACAAAGACUCACCAUUGAUGACAAUUUGGGGCCAGGAACUGACAGGAAAUGGGUACAUUUGGUCAUGCUUAGUAAACCCAUUUCCUCACAAAUUCAUUUCUCCCUCAUAUUGGAAAACUUUGAGCUUCUUUCAUACCAUAUUUUGGCCUUGACCUUUCUAGCACUUAGCCUCCCUACAAUGAAGUCUAUGUAUCUCAUACCCUCAGUGCAGGCCCCCUAAUUAUAGCCAUUCGUUAAACUGUCAGGAAGAAAUCCUCAGUUCAAUCACGUCUUUAUCAGACUCUGGCUGCCAAUGGGGUCAAGUUAGGCGUCAAGUCUGACCUGCUCAGAGCCCCUGUGAUGUUCUGGUCUGCAUGCUCACUGGGGCCUUUGUGAGGAGGCAGGCCAGACAGCCACCUGGUUGCCCCCAGCUAAGUUCCCUGUCCAACUGCAUUGCCCAGACAGGGUGGAGCCAAGAGAAACAAUGGGGCUGACUUAUGUAGCACCUUCCUUUUGGCUCUGUCUUUGGGGAAUUUUGUGCACAGGAGUUAUACAGGGUUAUCAAAGUCCUAACUUGUAAAUGAAGACUUUACUGAAUAGGGAGGGAUCUGGUGUCAGGGGAAAAUAAAUUCUUCAGUUUGGAUCUGCUCUCAGAGAUUGUAGAAUCAUGGAAUUUUAUCACUGCCAAGGAACUCAGUGACCAUCUGUCUAACCCUUUAUUUUACAGAUCAGUAUAAAUGUGGCCAAGGGACUUGGGUUUUACUUUUACUGCUGAGUAUGGUUUUCUUGAAUUUCAGGGUGUGCCUCACGGAAGUCUUAGUUUUGGAGAAGAGCUGGAGCCAAUGUGUACCUCACACCACCUCUCGGCCCCAGUACAGACGUUGGAAACUUUUCUUUCUACACCAUUUCCAAUCCUGCAGUGCAGGCCCCUGCUCUCUAAGAAUUCACACACUUAGCCCUUAAAAAUGGGCAUCUGUAGGGGCACCUGGAUGGCUCAGUCAGUUAAGCAUCUGACUUUGGCUCAAGUCAUGCAUGAUCUCAUGGUUCAUGGGUUCAACCCCCUGCUGGGCUCUGUGCUGACAGCUCAGAGCCUGGGUCCUGCUUCGGAUUCUGUGUCUCCCCCUCUC